GACGAACGCUGGCGGCGUGCUUAACACAUGCAGGUCGAACGGAAAGGCCCUGCUUUUGUGGGGUGCUCGAGUGGCGAACGGGUGAGUAACACGUGAGUAACCUGCCCUUGACUUUGGGAUAACUUCAGGAAACUGGGGCUAAUACCGGAUAGGAGCUCCUGCUGCAUGGUGGGGGUUGGAAAGUUUCGGCGGUUGGGGAUGGACUCGCGGCUUAUCAGCUUGUUGGUGGGGUAGUGGCUUACCAAGGCUUUGACGGGUAGCCGGCCUGAGAGGGUGACCGGCCACAUUGGGACUGAGAUACGGCCCAGACUCCUACGGGAGGCAGCAGUGGGGAAUAUUGCACAAUGGGCGGAAGCCUGAUGCAGCAACGCCGCGUGCGGGAUGACGGCCUUCGGGUUGUAAUCCGCUUUCGCCUGUGACGAAGCGUGAGUGACGGUAAUGGGUAAAGAAGCACCGGCUAACUACGUG
rnacentral:rRNA from 1 species